CAACGCAGAAAUAUUUUCAUUAAAAAGUUAUAAAUUAAUAAAGCUUCCAAAAAUGUUCUUAGAACAGUUAAAUAAAAAAUAAAAAUAGUAUAAGCUUUUUAUGUGUUACAAAUAGUGCAUCUUUUAUUGAUAAUGAAUGCAAGGAAAUGGUCUAAAAAUUUUUUUUGGAUAAAUGACACCCAAAAGGAAUGUUUUAAUUAUAGUUAGAAAAUAAUAUUUAUUGAAAAUAAUUUUACAGAUUAUCAUCAUAAGUUCGUUGAAGGUCACAAUCAACUCUUCAUCCUACCUAAUUGUUAACAAACGACGGAAAGGUGAAAAUUACGAAGUAAUUUAAAAGAAAGGGAAGACCAAUUAAUUAAAAAAAAAAAUCAUCAUAGUUAGUGCUUUCAGAAGGGUUAUUAAAACACUACUGUUUAUUUAUACUAUUAAAUUAAACUUCUUUUUUAAAAUUUGUGAGUAUUCAAAGUGCUCAAAAUUGAUCACCUUAAAUUUAAAUUAGUUAAGACGAUAAUAAAUUAAGAAAUGUUAUUUUUGAUAAACUAUGUUUUCUAGCCAUUAAUAUUAUAACAGACAGUAAUAGGAUAUUGUAUUAUUAAUCAAAACCGCAAGUUCCUGUCUCGAUAACAUGGUUAUUGACACCGAUAACCAAAAGAGGUCGCAUACAUUUUGACGACCGCUAACCUAGUGGUGUAUCGCACUAUACUUACACAUUAGAUCUAAUUUCAAUUUAUACCUAAUGAUUUGUAAUUGAUAUUUUCGCAGGGAACAUUAGAUUGUCAUGGUACGCCAAGGACAAAGUAUCUUAUUAAGUGAAAAUCAUUUUAUAUUACUUAACGCAUAUUUUUAAAUUGCCAUCGUUAUGGACCAGAUGCAUUAAGUCCAAUGGUCUAAAACGCCUAUUGUAAGGAAGGAAAUUUUAAUCAAUCAUAUUAAUAGAGGAAGAUCAAAUAAGAGAUGAAGGGAUGUUAUUGAAUGCAGUAUGAGGACUGUUGACGUGUGGGAGAUCGUUUCAAGUGAAUGUUCAGGAUGUUCAACCACAAGCAAUUAGGAUGAAGACUAGGACAAAGAAGAAGUAAUAUUUUAAUAAACGAAAUUAUGAAAUUCAUAAUAAAUAUUGAUUAACCAGGUACCUUAAUUUACAUAACAUAGAAAUGUGUUAAACUUUGUGUAACAGAACAGCAGAUACCGUAUUGCUACAAAGCAUUUUUUAACCAGUUGACAUAGUUAAAAUAUAUACUGUUCGUUUUUUGUGAAAGAAGUAUUAAUUUUUUAGACAGUGAUCGGUAAUCCCAAGAGAAGAACACCAGGAUAUAACGAUGAGAACACAAUUUAAAAAUGUUUCAAAAUGAUAAACAUACAUGUAUUAUAAUGUAUUACAUGUAUAAUAUUUUACUCAUAAAUAUAUUAGUAAAAUACUUUUUUACUCAGUCAAGUAUAAAAUAUUUCAUCUCAAAAUCGAAGUUUUGAGCAAAAUGGUUAUGUAUAAAUAAAUUUAGCCAAAAUUAAAUUAAUACAAAACCGCAAAAAAGUUUUACAUAUAAUUGUUUUCAUAGUGUAAAACCAUUGUAUCGCACAUCACUUUUAUUAUUUUAAAAUUUAGGGUUGGUAUGACAUCAGUUUUUAAGAAUUAUGAUGUGGUGAUGUUUUAGCAAAAUUACAGUGUAAAGGUUUUCUCUUUGCUUCUUAUCCUUAUUAAAGUUUGCAAGAUUUUUUGUACAAUAUUAUAAUAAGU